rnacentral:ncRNA from 1 species
UAACCUCUGGCGAAACACGUGCAUGUUA